CACUACAGCCAUACCACCCUGUACACACCUGGCCUCCUCUGAUCUGGGAAGCUAAGCAGGCCUGGGACUGGUUAAUGUUUGCAUGGGGGAGAGGCAGAGGUUUUAGCCUAUGAAAGGAGCAGAGUAUGGGGUAGAGG
rnacentral:rRNA from 1 species